GUUGAGAUGGCCGAGUUGGUCUAAGGUGUCAAAUUAAGGUUCUGUUCUGAAAGGGAGUGCGUUCAAAUCCUAUUCUCAAUA
rnacentral:tRNA from 1 species